CCUACGGGAGGCAGCAGUGAGGAAUAUUGGUCAAUGGGCGCGAGUCUGAACCAGCCAAGCCGCGUGAAGGAUGACUGCCCUACGGGUUGUAAACUUCUUUUAUAAAGGAAUAAAGUGAGGCACGUGUGCCUUUUUGUCUGUACUUUAUGAAUAAGGAUCGGCUAACUCGGUGCCAGCAGCCGCGGUAAUACGGAGGUUCCGAGCGUUAUCCGGAUUUAUUGGGUUUAAAGGGAGCGUAGAUGGUUUUUAAAGUCGGUUGUGAAAGUUUGGGGCUCAAUCGUAAAUUGCAAUUGAUACUGGCAGCCUUGAGUACAGUUGAGGUAGGCGGAAUUCGUGGUGUAGCGGUGAAAUGCUUAGAUAUCACGAAGAACUCCGAUUGCGAAGGCAGCCUACUAAACUGCCACUGACAUUGAUGCUCGAAAGUGUGGGGAUCAAACAGGAUUAGAUACCCUUGUAGUC
rnacentral:rRNA from 1 species